rnacentral:rRNA from 1 species
UUCCGGUUGAUCCCGCCGGACCCCACUGCUAUCGGGAUAGGACUAAGACAUGCUAGUCAAGCGCUUCCCAGCCAAAGGGGAGUGCGGCGCACAGCUCAGUAACACGUGGCUAACCUGCCCUCGAGACGGUGACAACCCCGGGAAACUGGGGCUAAUCUCCGAUAGGCGAAGAGCUCUGGAAUGAGCCUUUACCAAAAUAGCAAUCAGGCUAUGCUUCUGGUUGUCGCUCGAGGAUGGGGCCGCGACCGAUCAGGUUGUUGGUGAGGUAACGGCUCACCAAGCCUAUAACCGGUGCGGGCCGUGGGAGCGGGAGCCCGGAGAUGGGCACUGAGACAAGGGCCCAGGCCCUACGGGGCGCAGCAGUCGCGCAAACUUUGCAAUACACGAAAGUGUGACAGGGCUAUCCCGAGUGCCGUCCGCUGAGGAUGGCUUUUACCUAGUCUAGAACGCUGGGGGAAUAAGGAGAGGGCAAGUCUGGUGUCAGCCGCCGCGGUAAUACCAGCUCUCCGAGUGGUGUGGAUGUUUAUUGGGCCUAAAGCAUCCGUAGCUGGCCAAGCCAGUCCCUUGUUAAACCCACCGAAUUAAUCGUUGGAUUGCGGGGGAUACUGCUCGGCUAGGGGACGAGAGAGGCAGACGGUAUUUUCGGGGUAGGGGUGAAAUCCUAUAAUCCCG